UAGGGAAUCUUCGGCAAUGGACGAAAGUCUGACCGAGCAACGCCGCGUGAGUGAAGAAGGUUUUCGGAUCGUAAAACUCUUUUGUUAGCGAAGAACAAGGACGUUAGUAACUGAACGUCCCCUGACGGUAUCUAACCAGAAAGCCACGGCUAACUACGUGCCAGCAGCCGCGGUAAUACGUAGGUGGCAAGCGUUGUCCGGAUUUAUUGGGCGUAAAGCGAGCGCAGGCGGUUUCUUAAGUCUGAUGUGAAAGCCCCCGGCUCAACCGGGGAGGGUCAUUGGAAACAGGGAGACUUGAGUGCAGAAGAGGAGAGUGGAAUUCCAUGUGUAGCGGUGAAAUGCGUAGAUAUAUGGAGGAACACCAGUGGCGAAGGCGGCUCUCUGGUCUGUAACUGACGCUGAGGCUCGAAAGCGUGGGGAGCAAACAGG
rnacentral:rRNA from 1 species